AGAUGCUGCGCUAUGAGUUAUU
rnacentral:miRNA from 1 species